rnacentral:rRNA from 1 species
AUUGAACGCUGGCGGCAGGCCUAACACAUGCAAGUCGAGCGAGCGGCUGACGGGUGAGUCAUGUAUGGGGCCUGCCCGAUAGAGGGGGAUAACUACUGGAAACGGUGGCUAAUACCGCAUACUAUCGGAUAACCCAUAUGUGAUUACCUAGUAGGUGUGGUAACGGCUCACCUAGGCGACGAUCUCUAGCGGGUCUGAGAGGAUGAUCAGCAACACUGGGAAUGAGACAAGGCCCAGACUCCAAGGGAGGCAGCAGUGGGGAAGAGUGCACAAUGGGCGAAAGCCUGAGGCAGCCAGGCCGCGUGUAUGAAGAAGGCCUUAGGGUUGUAAAGGACUUUCAGCGGGGAGGCGUUACCCGCAGAAGAAGCACCGGCUAACUCCGUGCCAGCAGCCGCGGUAAUUC